CCUUCGAUAGCUCAGUUGGUAGAGCGGUGGACUGUAGACGAGAAAGUGAAGCUGAUAUCCAUAGGUCGCUGGUUCAAAUCCGGCUCGAAGGA
rfam:Oryctes borbonicus contig6932, whole genome shotgun sequence.